GGCCUUGAACACCUCCAGGGGUGGGGCAGCCACAGCUUCUCUGGUUGACCCUUGCUAGUGCCUCACCACCUUCUCUGUGAAGAUACUCACUAAUGAGCUAUAUCCACAAGACAAUCUAAAGCAGAGAAAAUGUGAGCUGCUGCUCUGUCUUGCUGAGUGUUGUUUCCAAUCAAAAUUUAAAGGAAAAAACUAAAGACAUUUGGAAGUGCUGUAAACCCUUCAGCUAUGACAGACAUGUGGAGAGUGCUGCCAUGGAACAGCUGUAUUUGUUGAGCUGAAGUCCAAAGCUUGUACAAUGAAGGAUAAAGCUCAGAGGGCUUUAUAAUUGGGACACAUUUUGAAUUCUGAGCCAAAGGCAAAAAUAAGCAAGUAAACAAGGAGGAGUAACACAAGCGUCAUAAAAAUAAAGAGCAGAACUGUUCAGAACUUGUUCAGGUCCUAAACAAUAAACCAAAAUACAAUUCAAAGUUGCAAAACACAAAGCUUCUAUAGGCAUACUAUGUUACUUAUGGACUACAGGAAGAAAAAUAGUUCUACUAUUUUCCUUUUCAGAUUUGAUUAUUCCAAGCGCAGUCUCAGAAGAAGGACUUUUUUUGCCAUCUUGAGGUCUGGAGGAGGGAUUAAAGGAACUUUCUAGCCAUGAGAUCUGAGGAUCAGAACACGUGGUGGUAAAAUUAAAUGGCUUACAUUACAUGUGGUGAAGACUACCACAACUACCUUGCCUCACUACCUUUGAGCUUGAUGCUCAAAAUGAGAAAAAGCGGACACGUCUAAAGACACAAGGCUCACAAGUUCUACAUGGAGAGCACAGACAGAGGUGGCCGCAGCUCUCUGAUCUCUGCCC